rnacentral:SRP_RNA from 1 species
GCUGGGCGCAGUGGCACGUGCCUACAGUCCCAGCUACCCGGGAGACUGAGGUGGGUGGAUCGCUUGAGUCCAAGAGUUCUGGGCUGUAGUGUGCUAUGCCCACUGGGUGUCCGCACUAAGUUCGGCAUCAAUAUGGUGACCUCCUGGGAGCAGGAGACCACCAGGUUGCCUAAGGAGGAGUGAACCGGCCCAGGUCAGAAACGGAGCAGGUCAAAACUCCCGUGCUGAUCAGUAGUGGGAUCCCACCUGUGAAUAGCCACUGCACUCCAGCCUGGGCAACAUAGCAAGAUCCUGUCUCU